rnacentral:rRNA from 1 species
GACGAACGCUGGCGGCAUGCUUAACACAUGCCAGUCGAACGGAAAGGCCCUGCUUUUUUGGGGUGCUCGAGUGGCGAACGGGUGAGUAACACAUGAAUAACCUGCCCUGGACUUUGGGAUAACUUCAGAAAACUGGGGCUAAUACCUGAUAGGAGCGCCUGCUGCAUGGUGGGGGUUGGAAAUUUUCGGCGGUUGGGGAUGGACUCGCGGCUUAUCAGCUUGUUGGUUGGGUAUUGGCUUACCAAGGCUUUGACUGGUAGCCGGCAUGAGAGGUUGAACGGCAACCUGGGGCCUGCGAUACGGAGCAGACUCAUAUGUGAGGCAGCAGUCGGGAAUCUUGCACAAUGGGCGGACGUCUGAUGAAGAAACGCUGCGUGUGGGAUGAAGGCUUUCGGGUUGUAAACCGCUUUAGCUUGUGACGAAGCGUGAGUGACGGUAAUGGGUAAAGAAGCACCGGCUAACUACGUG